GGAAAGAGACUCUGAGCCCAUUGACACCGCCGGAGUGCGUGCGAGACUUACCGCCGGGAAGGAAGUGACACCGUGUCCCGAGAAGCCUGACCAGUGAGAGCAGGAGACCCCGAAGCAGAGGAAGAGAGAAUCCUGCACAUGAGGAUGAAGGGCAGGUGCUCUCCCCCAAGGCCUUCAGCACUUCGUUCAUUUCUGCAUCUUCCGUGGAUCCCAGCAUGAAGCAGAAGCUCAGAGAGGUCUUUGGAAGCAACAGAUGAAGGCAAAGCCAGCCAAUGCCAACAAUCAUGUCUGCACAUGGAGAACAAGGACAGACCCACCCACCUCUGAAUUAGCACCUGACUCUGGUGUUUAAAAUGUUUCCCAAA